rnacentral:rRNA from 1 species
UACGGAGGGAGCUAGCGUUGUUCGGAAUUACUGGGCGUAAAGCGCGCGUAGGCGGCUUUGUAAGUUAGAGGUGAAAGCCCGGGGCUCAACCCCGGAACUGCCUUUGAUACUGGCUGUCUUGAGUACGGGAGAGGUGUGUGGAACUCCGAGUGUAGAGGUGAAAUUCGUAGAUAUUCGGAAGAACACCAGUGGCGAAGGCGACACACUGGCCCGUUACUGACGCUGAGGCGCGAAAGCGUGGGGAGCAAACAGG